AAUGAACGUUAGCGGCGUGGAUUAGGCAUGCAAGUCGUACGGGUCGGUGUAGCAAUACAACGGCAAGUGGCGAAAGGGAGAGUAACACGUAGAUACCUACCCUCUGGUCGGGGAUACCGCGGCAUAACCGCAAGUAAUACCCGAUAAAAUCUCCGGAACAAAGGUGUAAUUCCGCCGGAGGAGGGGUCUGCGUUCUAUCAGCUUGUUGUUGAGGUAAUGGCUCACCAAGGCUAAGACGGAUACGGGGUGUGAGAGCAUGCCCCCGCUCACUGGGACUGAGACACUGCCCAGACACCUACGGGUGGCUGCAGUCGAGAAUCUUCGGCAAUGGGCGCAAGCCUGACCGAGCGACGCCGCGUGCGGGAUGAAGGCCUUCGGGUUGUAAACCGCUGUCGAGGGGAAUGAAGUGCAAGUGAGUUAUCUCAUUUGUUUGACAGAUCCCUGGAGGAAGCAUGGGCUAAGUUCGUGCCAGCCGCCGCAGUAAAAC
rnacentral:rRNA from 1 species